AGGCGGAGCUUGCAGUGAGCCGAGAUCGCACCACUGCACUCCAGCCUGGGCGACAGAGCGAGACUCCAUCUCAAAAAAAAAAAAAAAAUUGAGAUUCUGAUCCCUGUGCUUGGAGAGAUUGAGAAUAGAAUCAGGCACUAUCACCAUAAGUUGAGGGAAUGGCUUUUGUGGGGGUGGUCUCUUGAGUUUUUUCUGCCUCACUGGGGAUGGCGGGAUGACAGAAAAUAGCUCUAAUCAAGGUUGGCCUAAUUUGUUUUGGCCCCUGAGUCCUCCAGGGAAAGACUUGUAGUCUGGAUGUCAGGCUUUUUUUGUGGGUCCGGAACUCACCUUGAGGAAGGGAAUAGUUGGUGAGAGAUCUUCUGUAUGUUUAUGGACAGAAAAAGUUGCGUUCUUUGUUCCCAGGGAAUGUUCCAGAACUUCCAGCAUUAGUCAGAAGGAGCUGUUUCCAUUUUCAGCUCAGAAGCCAUAUUCUCCAAAAUCUGGAACAUGGAGAUUUCACAGCCCUCAUGUUCCGGAUAGUUCACUCAAAGCUUGGGAGUUGGAGAUGAGGCAAUCAACAGAUGCUGACACCAGCAUGGAGGAGAGAUUGCGGCUGAUCUGGAGACUAAACGGAGACCUGCAGUCCCUGGAAUGCUUCCAUUUCAUCACAACCAAGCAAGGUGCACAUGCUGGUCCCUGUGCCUGGGACAGUCUUCCAGAUCUUAUUCCACAGGAUUCCAGAAAUGGGAAUCCCUCGAUAUAACGCCUGGCCUGGAUUCAGGAUGGUAAGGCACCAUGAAGAGAGGAAGGAGAUGACAUCACCCGUGGAAGGACUUAUAUACCCUGUCCAAUCUCAUUGUUGGCAAAAACACAGUCAGCCAAGUUGACACCUCCCUGUUAAUUCCAGAAGUUCUCUGGACCACUCAGGGUGCUUAAGACCCACCCGUCUAGAAGAAGAAAUGACAUCCACCCCAAAAGUAUGUGCCCUGAAAACAUACCUUCUGAAGUUUCUUUCAACACUACUGGAGACAGAGGUCAGUGGAGCCCGAGUAAAUGUCCAGGUAAGCUGCAUGAAGGGUGGGAGAGUGGCAUGGGCCAUCAGAGCUUAAUUGUACAUUGCUUGGGCAGCCACGGUUAGAUCUUGAACACCUUGCUCCCAUUCUGUGCUCUCAUCUCUCCACUUGGGCCAUUAGGUAACAGCCAUGCUGGGGGUCAGUGCAGUGGGGAUGUUUCCAUGGUGAUGCCAGAACAGCCCAUGCCACAGCCUGCUGACCUUAUCCUUUGACCUGCCCAGAAGUCCAGAGAUGCUGUGAACGCUUACUGUAGCCUCCAUGCUGGCCUUAUGGGGACACCAAGAUUCCUGGAUGUGGAAUCCACUGAGCACCUCUGCCUGCAGACUUCAGUGCCAGGGGCCACAUCGACAACCCCUGACUCUCCCAAUACUGUUCCUCUACCCACAAGCCCCUGUGGUUCCCUAAAAGGAGAUGAUAUUGUUUUCCCCACUCCCUGCCUUGAUGCCUAGACUCAGGCCUGACUGCAGUCAUCUGCCAGGUUGUCUCUGGAAAACCUUUGACACAGGUAUUGUGAAUGCCCCAGGCUCUGUCUUUAUCCUCACCACCACCAAGCCCAGUAAUUACCCGUUCUCUUAGGACCUGACCCAUCUCCACCUCCUAGGCUUUCUCCUGAUCCAAGGCUGUCUGGAAAAUCCAGCUCUAAGGUAACAGUUGCUUUUGAGGCUCCCCAAAGGGCUUGUGAAAUACUCAGGAUUCCUUUUUUUUUUUUUUUUUUUGAGGCAGAGUCUCACUCUGUUGCCCACGAUGGAGUGCAGUGGAGCUAUCUCGGCUCACUGCAGCCUCUGCCCCCUGGGUUCCAGCAAUUC